GACGAACCACACAAACGUUAUUCGGAAUUACUGGGCUUAAAGGGUGCGUAGGCUGCGCAGAAAGUUGGGUGUGAAAUACCUCGGCUCAACCGAGGAACUGCGCCCAAAACUACUGUGCUUGAGGGAGAUAGAGGUGAGCGGAACUUAGGGUGGAGCGGUGAAAUGCGUUGAUAUCCUAAAGGAACACCCGUGGCGAAAGCGGCUCACUGGAUCUCUUCUGACGCUGAGGCACGAAAGCUAGGGUAGCGAACGGG
rnacentral:rRNA from 1 species